AUUGAACGCUGGCGGCAGGCCUAACACAUGCAAGUCGAACGAGUGGCGGACGGGUGAGUAAUGUCUGGGAAACUGCCUGAUGUAGGGGGAUAACUACUGGAAACGGUAGCUAAUACCGCAUACCAUCGGAUGUGCCCAGAUGGGAUGAGCUAGUAGGUGGGGUAAAGGCUCACCUAGGCGACGCUGCAUAGCUGGUCUGAGAGGAUGACCGGCCACACUGGAACUGAGACACGGUCCAGACUCCUACGGGAGGCAGCAGUGGGGAAUAUUGCACAAUGGGCGAAAGCCUGAUACAGCCAUGCCGCGUGUAUGAAGAAGGCCUUCGGGUUGUAAAGUACUUUCAGCGGGGAAGCGUUACCCGCAGAAGAAGCACCGGCUAACUACGUGCCAGCAGCCGCGGUAAUUC
rnacentral:rRNA from 1 species